rnacentral:rRNA from 1 species
UGGGGAUUAUUGGACAAUGGGCGGAAGCCUGAUCCAGCCAUGCCGCGUGUGUGAAGAAGGCCUUUUGGUUGUAAAGCACUUUAAGCGAGGAGGAGGCUACGUGGAUUAAUACUCUAGGAUCGUGGACGUUACUCGCAGAAUAAGCACUGGCUAACUCUGUGCCAGCAGCCGCGGUAAUACAGAGGGUGCGAGCGUUAAUCGGAUUUACUGGGCGUAAAGCGUGCGUAGGCGGCUUCUUAAGUCGGAUGUGAAAUCCCUGAGCUUAACUUAGGAAUUGCAGUCGAUACUGGGAAGCUAGAGUAGGGGAGAGGAUGGUAGAAUUCCAGGUGUAGCGGUGAAAAGCGUAGGGAUCUGGAGGAAUAACGAUGGCGAAGGCAGCCAUCUGGCCUAAUACUGACGCUGAGGUACGAAAGCAUGGGGAGCAAACAGG